ACCAUAUCUUGUGUUCGAGGUUCUUUCGAUUCGACGAGUCGGGAGCUAAGACGGGAAUCCGGUGCGCUUGCCCAUGGUGGGCGGGCAAUGCCGGAGCUGCCCCCGCAACUGUAAGCGGCGAGCUUUGCGCCCCAUGCCACUGGCGAAAGCCGGGAAGGCGGGUGGAAGCGUUGAGCCGUGAGCCAGGAGACCUGCCUUGAGCGUGAACGUCCAC
rnacentral:ncRNA from 18 species